AUGCCCGGUGGUCAGCUGCCAGGACCUGGCAGGCCCUGGAGCCACCCAGUCCCAGACCCCCACCUGGUGGUCAGCUCAGGUCCCCUGCUGUGCAGGCCACUCCUCUUCUGGACACUUGCACAUGACAGGUGGCGGCCACAGCCUUCAGCUCAUGGACACUGUAGCUGUGCCCCUGGCCGUAGCUGUCACCCCCGGGGGUCCUGCGGAGGCGGCCCUGCUCCUCGGCCUCCGCGGAGCCCCGGGGGUGACAGACGCGUUGGGGACGGGAGAGAGGCGGGCGGCGGCACCCUCUCCCUCGGGGCCGCUCCGGGGCCUGGGUCCCCGCCGCCCCGCUCUCCCGCCCUCGCAUCCUCGCAUCCUCUGCCAAAUCCGAAUUCUUCCAGCCCAGCGUCCCGGGCUCUGUCCUUCAUAACGAAUAAUAAUGACGCAUAUCGAAUCGCAUGGACUUAUCCGACCUCCUCAGAUCCCAGCGCCCCCGCCCCGGGCCCCCCCCCCCUCGUCCCCGGGCCCUCGGUGCGGGAGGCCGGAGCCCGGCCCGGCAGGCAGGCCUGGGCACGGCCCAUCACACACCUCUCUGUAUUCGCUUUGCGGGUAAAGCCCCCUGGGGGGGUUGCGGAUGCGUCGGGUUUCUUUCUUUCUGUAUUUGUACGUUUUAUUUAUGAACGGAUUGCACUCGGGUCGGGGAAGGGGCGCUGAGGCCCCCAUCCUUCCCGCCGACGCCGGGGGCUCGGGACGUCCGGGGUUACCUUCCCCGCCCCCUGGGCCCCGCCCCCACUCGGUUGCCAACUUUCGCCGGUCUAUGCCAAAGCCUCGGCGGCGACCCCGCCCCAAGGGCCCGCCCCAUUGGCCGCCGCCUUUGUGACGUCACUGCAUGCAGCCCCACCCCCUCCCGUCCCUUCCCGGGGCUGCCCGCUUCCUGUCCCUUAGUUAGUCCGACGCCGACUAUAGAGCAAUAAUGCGCACUGCAUGCGAAGCUGCCGCCGCCUCUAGAGUUACUGAGAAUCAGGUAUCCCCCUGCCCUACCCACCCCAUAGGCCCCUAGAUCAGGGACAUUGCGCGGGGCCGGACGCGCAGACUUUCUUUCCCCCUCCUCCCUCCCCCCCACGGCAGAGCCCUGCGGGUGUAACGGCUCCAGGGGCAGGGGCAGGGCGGUUGCGCCCGAGACCCCUCCUUCAGUCAUCCAUCACCCACCGACGGACUGUUCAUUGGGCACCUACCAUGUGCCAGGCCCGCUGCAGAGUCGGCCAGAGAUGCAGCGACCUGCGGGGGGUGCAUGUGGGUGACAGGGGUCCAGCAGGUUUGGGUGGGCCAAGGAGGGCUGCAUCUGCAGAGAAAGGCCUGGUCCCUAGACCCAGCCCUGCAUCCCCCUUACCUCUUCCCCGCCCCAGCCAGGGGCCAGUGCUGGGUGCAACUGGGUUCGACCUUUGACUUGCACCUGGCGUUCUCAGCUCAGGUGGCACAGACCCAGGGCCCCAAGGCCCAGCAUGAGCAGGGCCACCCAUACCACCAACUCUCAGUCCUUCCAUCUCCUGGCCUCCCGGGCUCUGCUGUGUGGGGCCAGGACCGCAGGCCAGACAAAAGGUGCACGCUGGAGUGUAUGGCCUGGUCAGCCCCAACCCACUGGGCACCAAGCUGCUACCCAGCUGCACCUGCCGGAGCAGACUGAGGGCCCAGCCCAGCAGGGCCCAUAUCCAAAACCCUCUAUACCACAGCCCCGUGUCCACACAGCUCCCAAGCAGGGGCCUGCCCUCCUGUGCUGGGCACACCCGCAUGCACACGCACACACAGGCGCCCCGCCGCACCCCCACAUGCCUGUCUACCUACCUAAGGAGAAGGCCAGAGGGCCAUGGGCCGGCCAGGGCUCCCGCUUCUCCCUACACCCCGCCGCCGUGGAAAGCCAUGGGCCCCCUCCCGCCCCCAUAACUAAGCAGCACAAUAACCGACUUAGCGAAUUCAGGUAGAAGGAACGUUUAGGUAGCACCUAUUUUGUACUGAUUCUACGAGUAGGGCCCGAGAUGCGGGGGCCCUCGGGUGGGGGUUGCGGCCGCCGGCCUGCCCCGCCCCCACCCCCGCCUGAGCCCCGUCGCCUUGUACAUACUCCCACCCGGAACAGGCCGGGAUUUUUACUCGGGCCGCGCCCCUCUUCCGCCCCCGUUUGGGGCUGGGCCGGCCGGACAGACGGACGGACGGACAGACCUCCUUCCUAAGCACAAUAGCACCAGCUCCCCGGAGCGCCGCACCUCCACGAGGAGAAUAAAUGCCACUCUUGAUAGAACUUGGAGUGUCGG
rnacentral:lncRNA from 12 species